rnacentral:misc_RNA from 1 species
AACCCCCCCUCUCCGCCAGAUUGAGGUGAGCAGUUGUGCCAGUGCCGCGUGAGUUUCGCCGGCGGCAUUGGGGGG